UACGUAGGGUCCGAGCGUUGUCCGGAAUUAUUGGGCGUAAAGGGCUCGUAGGCGGUUUGUCGCGUCGGGAGUGAAAACCGGGUGCUUAACACCUGGCUUGCUUUCGAUACGGGCAGACUAGAGGUAUGCAGGGGAGAACGGAAUUCCUGGUGUAGCGGUGAAAUGCGCAGAUAUCAGGAGGAACACCGGUGGCGAAGGCGGUUCUCUGGGCAUGUCCUGACGCUGAGGAGCGAAAGUGUGGGGAGCGAACAGG
rnacentral:rRNA from 1 species